CCAACCUUUCUCCUACCCUUCUGCCUCCAAAUUAACCGGUUAACGCCGUCAAUUUCUACCGUCCAUUACAGCUUACAGAAGAAAAAAAAAUAUACACAAGGCUGUUACAGUUGAUGUUUAAUUUGGCUUGAGGCAAGACUCAUACUGCACCAUGGGUUUUGAUAAUGAUUGCAUUUUGAACAUACAAUCUCUUGCUGGAGAGUAUUUUUGCCCAGUUUGUCGAUUUUUAGUCUACCCAAAUGAAGCAUUGCAGUCACAGUGUACUCAUCUAUAUUGUAAGCCAUGUUUAACUUACGUUGUCAGCACUACCCGCGCCUGCCCUUAUGAUGGCUACUUGGUGACGGAAACAGAUUCCAAGCCCCUUAUUGAAUCAAACAAACCACUUGCUGAAACUAUUGGCAAGAUAACGGUGCAUUGUCUAUACCAUCGGAGUGGAUGCUCAUGGCAAGGUCCUUUAUCUGAGUGUACUACUCAUUGUUCUGAAUGCGCCUUUGGCAAUUCUCCUGUUGUAUGCAAUAGAUGCGGAGUCCAAACUAUGCAUCGUCAAGUUCAGGAGCAUGCACAAAAUUGUCCUGGUGUGCAACCUCUAGCUCAUGCUGAAGGCGCUCAAGAUGCUUCGGUCGCUACGGCAACUUCUGCUGGUAAUCAUAGCCAGCCUGCCACUCAGGCAGAAGCUACCACUAUUCAGGCUCAAGCUUCUGAAACUACUAAACUCUCAGUGCCUGGGCAGGACUGCAAUCAGCAAGCCAAUGCAACUACACAGUCACAGGCUGCACCGCAGGCUGCAGUUCCAACAGCAGAACAAUGGUAUCAACAGCAACAACAAUAUCAACAGUAUUAUCAGCAAUAUCCUGGAUACGACCCAUAUCAACAGCAAUAUCAACAACAUUAUCCUUAUCAACAGAAUGCAGUUCCCCAGUAUGCACAAGCUCAGGCUAAUCUGCAGUCACAACAGCAAGUUCAACCUCAUCCUCAGCUGCAAACACAAGCUCAAUCACAUCCACAAAUGCAGCUGCCUGCUGCUGCUCAACCUCAGAGCCAGCCCCAAACUCAAACAACGGCUCAGCCUCAGUUGCACACAAAUUUAGCACCCCAUGGCCAUCCACCUCCUCAAGCUCAGCUGCACCAGCAAACCCGUCCUGUCCAGCAUCAUACACAACAUGGACAGUAUCAGCAGCUGCAUUCCCAGGUUCAGGCACAGGUUGAUGCUCACUCUCAGCAUAAUACUUUGCAAUCCCAACUUCCUGCUCAAGGUCUUCCACAAACACAUGCGCAAAAUCCUACGCAACCUACUCAGCAACCCCUUCCCUCACAGCCAAGCCAGCCUUUGAAUCCUCAGCUCCAACCUCAGCCACAUCAUUCAUUUGACCAUGCAGUGACAGGACAUCACUUUUAUCCACAACCACAGCCUCAAAAUCAAAUGUCAAUGGGAGGGCUACACAAUGCCAUGCAUUAUCCUCAGGGUGGGCCUCAGCCACAGCUCCCUCAACAAUCUCCUUUAGUGCGUGCACCACAAUCUCAUGUUCCAAUUCAAAACCCUCAACAAUCCUCUUUUCUGCCUUCAUCUAGUCAGGUCCCUAAUGUUUCGCCGGCACAGCCACAGCCAGUGCAUGCUCAACAACCUGUCAUGGAGUCAGUUCAACAACCAAUUCAUCCGCAGUAUGUGCAGCAGCAGCAGCAGCCUUUUCCUGGACAAUCACAGGGCCCAGUUCAGAAUCAAGUGUCACAGCAAGGCGCUUAUGUACCACAGCUGCAUGGGCAGACUCAUUUACAUCCCCAGGGACCUCAUUCGUACCCGCAGCCGAUGCAGAAUGUUGCAUUGCAGCAUGGCAUACAACCCCAUCAAACACAAAAUCUUGGGGGAAGGCCUAUGCUUCCUCCUUAUGGUGGCCCGGCACAUACCCAUCCACACUCAUCUGUCGGUAUGCAGAUAAGGCCUAUGCAUGUUGAUGCAGACCAACAUUCGGGAAAUGCCCUUAGGACAAAUAAUCAACCGCAGUUUCCUUCUCAGCAACACUCUGGGCCUGCUUCAAGACAAAUAUGUGAGAGACAAGAUGAUCACAUGACUGAGAAAGGUUCAGGAGCUGUCUUACGCUCCCAGGAAAAUGUACGAAGGGAUCCAAAUAAAUGGGAUGUUGUAUCUGGUCAUGGGGUUGAUGCAGGUGAGAUGAGAACUGGAAAAUAUGAAAGCAAUUUGAAGUUAGAGGAUGAGGGCAAAAAAUCCAUAAAUGAUGCUAAGGAUGUAUCAAAAUCACUCAGUGGAGAAAAUAUGCUUACGAAUGUGAAGGAAGAGCCUAAAGAGGGCACUGAUGACCAGAAGGGCGCGUCUAAUACUGAAUAUGACCAUAAUGGAAAAGACAAAAGAAUGAAGGAUGGGACACUAAUUAAAUCGCGUGUACCUCCAGAAGGCGAACACCUUGAAGGCCAGGAUAUGGAAUCUCAGGGCAGAAACGCGACUCAAUAUUCUGGAGGCUUUCCUAUGCAUGGUCAGGUGCAAGGUGAGGGCCUGGUACAGCCAUCUCAUGGGCCUUCUGCUCUUCAACAAAGGUCUGUUGGUUCCUUAUUGUCCCCAGCACCUCCUCUUGGAUCCUUGCAUCAGAUGCAGUUGCCCGGACAUCCUUCUUCUGCACUUAGACCUUUGGGUCCGGGACAUAUGAUUCAUGGCCCUGAAGUAUUACCAGCUGGCAUUGCAAGCUUGGGUUCUACUCCAGCAAGUGGGAGAGGAGAGAGUCAUUAUGGUCCACAUGGUACAUAUAUUCAAAGUCACAGUCUACCUUCUCAAGGUGAAAUGUUCCCCAACCAGAGGCCCAGUUUAUCACAUGGAAGAAGACUAGAUUCAAUCAAACAACAACCUGGCAUGCACUCAAAUGCAGUGAGAAUGAAUGGGGCCCCUGGGAUGAAUUCCUCAUUAGCACAUGGAAUGCGUGAUGACAGGCGCAGAACUCUCUUGGACGAGCAUAUGAAUUCCUUUCCACUGGAUCCAACCCGGCGGAUUGUUGAUCGGAGAGAGUUCGAAGAUCACAAGCAUCUUUCUAGGCCCUCUGAUUUGGACGCUCAGUUUACUAAUAAAUUUGAGAGUAACUUCCCCUCAAGGCUCCUUGAUAGGGGACCUCUUGACAAGGGACUGUAUGGUUCAAAAUAUGAUUCUGGGAUGAAAUCAGAAGCCCUAGGUGGUCCAGCCCCUUCUAGAUUCUUUCCUCCUUAUCAUCAUGAUACUAUGAUGCAUCCCAAUGAUAUUGCAGAAAGACCAAUUGUUUUUCAUGACAAUGCUGUGGGCAGGCAGCCAGAUGCUGUGCGACCGCAUCCAGAGUUUUUUGGACCAAUUAGUGGAUAUGACCGCCGACAUAGGGACAAUAUGGGUUCUAGAAGCCCUGGUAGAGAUUACUAUGGAAUAUCAUCACAUGGAUUUGGUGUCGCUUCUAGGCCGGAUGAUUUUAAUGGCAGGGAGUCGCGCCGAUUGGGUGAUUCGUUUCUUGAUAACAGGUUUCCAGAUUUGCCCAGCCAUUUGCGCGUUGAUGAGUUUGGUCAAGAUGGAUUUUCUAAUGAUUUCAGAAGGGAACAUUUGGGUCAUCAUAAUCUGCGUAAUCGUUUGGGAGAGUCGAUUCGUUUUGGUGGUUUUCCUGGAGCCUCAGGGAUGGGGGAAUUAUUUAGGGCAGGGGAUUUCUUUCAUCCUCGACUUGGUGAGCCAGGAUUCAGAAGUCGCUUUUCCAGUAAGGGAUUCCAUGGAGAUGGUGGGAAUUAUACAGGGGAAUUGGAAUCUUUUAAUUAUUCGAGGAGGAGGAAAUCAUCUAGCAUGGGAUGGUGUCGAAUUUGUAAAGUAGAUUGUGAAACAGUUGAGGGCUUGGACCUACAUUCACAGACAAGGGCACAUCAAAAGAUGACAAUGGAUCUAGUUUUGACAAUCAAGCAGAAUGCUAAAAAACAGAAAUUAGCCACUAGCGAUAACUCUUCACUUGAUGAUACAAACAAGUCAAAGAAUGCUAGUAUUGAGGGCAGUGGGAAUAAGAAUUAAAUAGUGGCUGUGUUUUGCGUUGGUACCAGGCCCUUUGCAAACUCAGAGUUGGGUUUCUUGGUUUGGUCUUUUCCCACACUUGGAUACAUGGGGAUCGUUUUCUGCCUUUUCUUAUUGGGUGGUUUGCUAGGCUUUUCGUUUCUGGUUGCUGGGCUGUGGUGGAGAUUGUUUUCAGACCUGAAGUUCAAUGGCAAUUUUUUCAAUUCGACCUGUCUUUUAUGGCCGAAGCAGACUACAAAAAGAAUGAAAAGUCAGCGGAGAGGUCACUUCAAUCAUCUUUUUUAGAUGUGGUAAGAUUGCGUACAAUUUCCAGAUGUAAGUAAUGAAUUUUUGCUCAUUAGCACUGAUAUUCAAGAGUUUUUAUUUUCCAACAAUGUAAUAUUUUGAUUAGGCCACUGUUUUGAUGUUGACUUAUGUUUAAUACUUCAACUACAUGAGGAUGGUAGUUUGAUUUUGGGAAAUUUAAAAGGCUAAGAAGUCUUAGGCUUUACUUGGAAGCUUAUGAUAAGAGAUCAAUCUUUUGACUGUUUUACAUUGCUUUGUCAUGUUAGGGAGGAAAUUAUUGCUUUAUAUAUUAGGAAAGUAAUUAUUAUUGACUAAAUAUAUACAAUUGACUUUUGUAUGCCUGGUCUAAUAAUCUUCAGUUGGAUUUUUAAUCACAAAUUGAAAUGCUUAUUUCCUAUUUGUAAGUGUUGGAUUAGGUUUCUAGGAGUAGGUUGGAUCAAUGUUGUUUAAGGCGCAAGGCGCUCUCAAGGCGAGAUAGCCAUAUAUCGCCCGAGGCGAGAAGCGCUAAAAAAGCGCUCGCCUUAUCGAAGUAAGGCGCCAAUACCUAAAAAUAUUAAAUAUAUAUAUUUAUAUAUAUAUUUAAUAAAAAAUCAUAAAUCAUAAAUAUAAAACUCUUAAAUUUCUAAAUUUAAACCAUAAUCAUAAAGCUAAUAGAUCUAUAAUAGUAGUCCUAACCCUAAAUACUUAUCAUCCAAUACCAAAAUCAAAAUGAGUUUCAACUUUCAACAAAAGACGAUCUUACAACUAAUCAGAAUAAGGAAUUAAAGUCAAUCACUAAAAUAUCCAUCAACAUUUUCAUCAAAUUCAGCUCCACCACCACUCUCAUAUCCUUCAAUUUCAUCCACAUCUAAAUCAAUUUCAUUGUUGAUCAUAUGGAUUUCCAUCCUGGAUCAUAUGGAUUUCCAUCAUUUGCAAGUAGUUGUAUUUCCAUCCUGGAUCCUUCUUCUUUUCAGUGGGUGUUGAACCAUCAGUGCAUGGUUGAGGUUGGCUAUCCAUGGCGUGAGAAAAAAGAAUAAAAGGCUCUGCUCUUUUUUUUCUACUGAACGUAUAUUUUAAUUUGAAGUUAUUGUGUUUUACUUAAACCUAAACACUUAAAUAGAGACUUGAAUAGACUUUUAGACUUCCUAAAAGACUUUUAAAUUUCCUAAGUUAAAUCCAUUUAAAGCAUUAAUUAAGGCAUUAAUUAAGGCUAUCAAAUAGGAAUGUCUAGAUUAGAGUAAAAGUCACCUAAAAAACGUAAAAAAACAAAAAUUCAAUAAAGCGUGCUUUUUCCAUCUUCCAAGGCGAGCCAAGGCGAGCGCUUAAGCAAAUAAAGCGCUCGCCUUACUGAAGGCGCCUCGACUGGAAGGUCUGGAGGCGCCAUCAGUCUGUGGCGCCUCGCCUGAGCGCUUUAGGCGCUCAGGCGAGCGCUUUUAAUAACACUGGGUUGGAUUCUGUCAUAUCAUUAUUCUUAGAUUUUGAGGUUGAUUAUUGGACAAAUAAGUGAAUUAUUAUGAAUUUGGUCAAACUGAUGUACGCAAAAGAAAAAAAGAGUAGGGACUAUUUUGAUCGAAAUAAGAUAGUGUAGUGAUCCGGCGAGCUGUGCAGUUGUCGUUUCUUGAGAGUUGAGACUAACAAGAAAACCUUUAUUGGGAGUGCUUUUGAUCUCUCUCUUGUGUUAUCAUAUAUGUAUCCAUUCCUGUUCUGAUAGCAAAUUAUAUGAGGGAAUUAUUUAGAUGACUUCCUUGUAGUUUUAGGCUCAAAAUACAAUAAUAUAUCUCAGAUAAUCAACGCCAUAUUUAGUCUUUCAGAAACUGUAUAAUAAUUUAAUUUUUAGUUGGUUUAUGUUGAUGCUGCAUAAUCGUGAAUUUUGCAAUAUUUAAACCUUAAUAAGAGCUAAAAGAUUCUGAAGCGACAAUUGAUUAACAUGUUAUCAUAUAGAUGUAUGCUUUUGGUCAGACAUUUAAAAUGCGCAAGAGUGUAAAAUUUAAGAUGUUAGCUAAUGUAAAAUAUUUGCUAGAUGGGAAAGUUACAUCAAAACACUUCUGUCAAAAUUCCUGUAUGUGUAAUGAAACACUGCUAGCUUUUCUAUAUGUAAUUAUGUGCUACUAAUAAGAUUGUGUCAUUUAUAACUCAACUUUGGUUUCAAAUUUGAAAAGCUGGUUAGUGAUUUGUAAUCUUAUUUCUAAGUGACCGGUUGAUCUUUUAUUCGGAUGAUGCAUCCUUGACAGUUAUGGAAAUACCUUUUACAUGGUAGACUUUAAGUGUUAUAGAAAUCAAAUAAUAAACUCUAGUAAUAAAGACUUCUAAGUGUAUCGAGAUAUAUAAUAUUUAUGUCAUGAGGUAUCUUUGAAGUAUGACCUCUGGGAUGUGAUAAAAGAUUGAAUUGUUACUGAAACUCUUAAUGAGCUUUUAAGGAGGUGUUCUCGUAUAUAUACCAUUUUGAUGAUUAUUAUACAUAACAUAGGAUAAUAAUGAUCUAAAAAUUUCUCUAGGUUUAAAUAGAUAUGAUUACUGAUGGUCAAGAUAGCCGAUGGUAUUCUUUAUUAUUUUUCCUAAGUAGUACGAAGAGUUGCUAAAUUCUUUAACAUAGAGGAGAAUAAUGUUUCUUUCAUAGUGGUGAUAGCAUGAUUCUGGAAAACUACACAACAUGCCGAAAAUAUUUAUAAAACAUUCUCUGUUAAAGUUAUUAGGUUAUUACUUAAGUAGAAUAUGGUAGAUUUUGAUAUUUCUAUCUAAUUGAACUUUUCCAUUGUCAUUGUUUUGAGAAUUUCUUAUGCUUCAUAAGUUUCUUUUAUCACCUCUUUAUACUGGAAAAACGGGGGUUUUACUUGAAGUUACGGGCAGCGUUUUUCAGUGUUGGAUGCAAAUUCUGGAUUGGGAACAUGGUUGCUGGUUCUGUAUUUUCCAGGUUUGUUGUUUCUGUUUUUAACAUAUUUCUAAGUUGGGUUUGUUUAUUUAGUCAACUACUCAUAUCUGGCUACUUUUCUUCAUUUCUAGUUUCAAGGUCCCAUUGUUUAAAAUGUAUCAAUUAUCAUAUAUAAUACCCCAUCAUAAUAUCUCUUCGUAGUCUUACAAUUGAACUUGGUCAUAAAACUUCUUACUUGGAACAUUAAAAUCGCCGACUAAAAGUUAUAUUAAGAAUUGAAGAAAGAAAGAUUCUUAUAUUAAGAAUUGAAGAAAGAAAGUUAUAUUAAGAAUUGAAAUUUAGUAGCGUCGAAAUUUAGUGACAACUUCAGUGAUUGUUGGUGGACGUUAACUGCAAAUUGGAGCUGAAUGGUUUAGAACUAAGCAUGACUUGUAGAUUGAGGAUUUAGGGGGCAUGUGAUGACAAUGUAGGACCGGAAAAAAUAAUUGUAUUGUUGUCUGCAUGAAUUGAGGUAUCCAAAAUGCUUUCCUCAUGCGGUACAAGUGAAAGGUGACACCAUUAGUAGGAAGCAGCAAAAUAUAAAAUAUAUUUUCGAAUUACGUUGCUCGGAAUUUUUGGUAGUUAGGGUAUGUUUUGCAUCUCUUCUAAAAGUAGACCAUAUAUAGAGUUUUUAUGUGCGUAAUUAAUAGUAAUAUUAUAUGUUCUGAAUAUAAAUGCGUUUUUUCCUUAUUGUUGCAUCUUUACCUAGUUAGAAUGUUUUGAUUUUUCAUUGAUUUCAUUAAUAUGAAUAAAUGACUUGAAGAUAAUUGCUUGGACAAUUUGGCAUGAAUUUCUAUUUUCUUCAUUUCUUUUUGGGUAACUUUCUCAAUAGCAAAGAAUCAUUAAUCUCAGGCUAGCAACAUAGUAGGUAUUAUAAGAAGAAGAAUUUUAAGCUAAUGUUGUGUGCAUUUGAGGUUAGAAUCGGUUUAUCUUGGUAUAAUUAUGGCGAUUUAGCUAGCUACGCAAUAUUUUAAUUUAGUAAAUCUUAAGUUUCUUUAUUGGUCUAAUGCUCUUUUUAAUUAUAACAAUUUUUUUAAAAUUAUAUACUCUAUUUAUAUUGCGAGCUUAAAAGUAGAAAUGUGAAAAAUUUAGUCUUUUAUUUGCCAGUUUUGUACGUUUUGAAUACUCUUUAAAAUGAAAAGUUACCAACUCUCUUGGGCUUUUGAAAGCUAAUUUGCUAAUUUUGCUACCCAAGUAAAUUAGUGUUAUAAUCUUUUUUCAAGUAAUGCUCUUAAGGCAUGAAUUAAUAAAAUUUCCAGUUAUUUUGAACUAGCUUAAAUGAUUAUGUAUAUUCUUAAAUCAACGGCUGAGAUCAAUAUGUUGUAGGCUUGCUAAAGGACUAAACCUUUUAUUACUUGUCUAUUCUGAAAUAAUUAGCAUGAUUAAGUUGCUCAUAUAAACUAUGUAAAGCUUCAAUGAAAAUAAUAAAAAUCAAUAUUUUGAUGAAAGGAAUAUAAUUUUUCUAAAAAACCCACUUAAAAAUAGAUUUAGGAUAAAUAAAUGGAAAUGGAAAGAAACAUUUUGUUAGCUAUUUCUUGUAUUACUUUUCACAUUCAUGAAUUUAUUUGUUGGAACAUUUUCAUAGUAUGACAUUGAUAUUGAGCUAACAAUGCUUCAAGUUUUUGCAUGUUUCUUCUUGCAAGGAGCUUUCGUUGCAGGGUUGAAUCCGGUCGGGUUUGAGGUUUUACAACUGCGAAAUUGGUCGUGGGAGUUGCUAUCUAGCUGUGCAAAGACAUCUUUUCCACCGGCAUUGCACACUGGAUUCAAAUAUGAUAAUCCAAUGUUUUUAUAGAAGAUUAUGAGAAUAUAGAUACAGAUUUACUCAUAAGGUGUCAGUAAGCAAUUUAUUGAUUCACAAACCUAUUUUUAAUUUAUAAAGCAGAUAUCAUAUUAUGACA